rnacentral:rRNA from 1 species
UACGGAGGGGACUAGCGUUGUUCGGAAUUACUGGGCGUAAAGCGCGCGUAGGCGGAUUUGCAAGUCGGGGGUGAAAGCCCGAGGCUCAACCUCGGAACUGCCCUCGAUACUGCAAAUCUCGAGUCCGAGAGAGGUGAGUGGAAUUCCUAGUGUAGAGGUGAAAUUCGUAGAUAUUAGGAAGAACACCAGUGGCGAAGGCGGCUCACUGGCCCGGUACUGACGCUCAUGUGCGAAAGCGUGGGGAGCAAACAGG